GCCCGGAUAGCUCAGGGGUAGAGCACUUGCAUGGUAAGCAAGAGGUCGUAGGUUCAAUUCCUAUUCCGGGCA
rnacentral:tRNA from 1 species